CUCGUAGGCGGUUUGUCGCGUCUGCUGUGAAAACCUAAGGCUCAACCUUGGGCUUGCAGUGGGUACGGGCAGACUAGAGUGCGGUAGGGGUGACUGGAAUUCCUGGUGUAGCGGUGGAAUGCGCAGAUAUCAGGAGGAACACCGAUGGCGAAGGCAGGUCACUGGGCCGCAACUGACGCUGAGGAGCGAAAGCAUGGGAGCGAACA
rnacentral:rRNA from 1 species